AGAAAUGGGUUUCUAGAAACCCUAAGCUGCGCCGCAGGUCGAACCUCUCUCUCUGUCUUGCAUCAUUUUGCUGAGAAUGGUAAAAACGCAGGUGUACGUUGCCUUUUUCAGGCUUGGCAUAGUUGAUUGAGGGAGGAGCAUUCGAAACUUGAAUUCCAUUCUCGAUCAAGGCUGCGCCAAAAAGAGAUGGCAUGAUAAGACGAUGUGUACCAGAAAUAGAAAUGAACAACAUCCAAAGUCAUUAUCAUGAUGGAGCUGUUGGAGGACACUAUGGAGGGAGGAGAACAACAGCUAAAAUACUUGAAGCUGGUUUUUUCUGGCCCACUCUAUUUAGAGAUGCAAGAAAUUAUGUUGCCGCUUGUGAUAAAUGCCAAAGAAGUGGUAACAUUUCAAAAAGGGAUGAGAUGUCUCUUAACUCUAUUCUUGUGUGUGAAAUAUUUGAUGUUUGGGGUAUUGAUUUCAUGGGUCAUUUUCCCCCUUCAAACGAUUCCGAAUAUAUUUUAGUGGUCGUUGACUAUGUGUCAAGGUGAGUAGAAGA